GGGAAGAUGGCUCAGUGGUAGAGUGCAUGCCUUGCAUGCAUAAGGCCCUGGGUUCCAUUCCUCAGUACCA
rnacentral:tRNA from 1 species